GUAACUGCAGGUAAUGCCAGUACUCUUAAUGACGGAGCAGCAGCUUUAGUCUUGAUGACAAGAGAAGCGGCAGAGAGACUCAAUGUGGAACCAUUAGCAAGUAUCAUAGGUUUUGCCGAUGCAUCUGUUGCACCCAUUGAUUUCCCAAUUGCCCCUGCGGCAGCAAUGCCAAAGCUUCUAAAACAAACACACCUUAAGAAGGAAGACAUCUCAAUGUGGGAGAUCAAUGAAGCUUUUAGUGCUGUUGCACUGGCAAACAUCAAGGUACAGUGAUGUACAGUACACGAC